rnacentral:misc_RNA from 1 species
AAGUCGUAACAAGGUUUCCGUAGGUGAACUUAACACGUAUCCAACGUUAAACCCCCCUGUGAACCUUUAGAGUGCUCUUGCUAGCUAUACAGAAACAGCAAUCCUGGUAAAUCAGUGGCGAAAGUUCGUUUUUGAUUCAGGACUUCUGUCCAGGACCUGCAAUUGAGCCUAAGCAGUGGUCUGGAUUCCUGGCCGGGCGGACGAAAGUGUCGCUGGACGGUUUCUAGGGUAAGGUUAUCCAUCGCUGGAAGGUCCAUCACGGGCCGGCGGACAGACUGCAGGGCGCAAGCCCCCCUACCUGACGACCAAGUUAAAUCGGCCUUUAUCACAUAGCAAGUGCGCCGUGAUAAAGGAAAACGUACAACUGUUAACAAUGGAUAUCUUGGUUCUC